rnacentral:rRNA from 1 species
UACGUAGGGACCGAGCGUUGUCCGGAUUCAUUGGGCGUAAAGAGCUCGUAGGCGGCUGUUCAAGUCGAACGUGAAAACUCGGAGCUCAACUCCGAGCCUGCGUUCGAUACUGGACGGCUAGAGUCUGGUAGGGGGAUCUGGAAUUCCUGGUGUAGCGGUGGAAUGCGCAGAUAUCAGGAGGAACACCAAUUGCGAAGGCAGCUCGCUGGGACGUCACUGACGCUGAGACGCGAAAGCGUGGGGAGCAAACAGG